CCGAUGGAGGGGGAUAACUACUGGAAACGGUAGCUAAUACCGCAUAACGUCGCAAGACCAAAGAGGGGGACCUUAGGGCCUCUUGCCAUCGGAUGUGCCCAGAUGGGAUUAGCUAGUAGGUGGGGUAAUGGCUCACCUAGGCGACGAUCCCUAGCUGGUCUAAGAGGAUGACCAGCCACACUGGAACUGAGACACGGUCCAG
rnacentral:rRNA from 1 species